rnacentral:lncRNA from 1 species
GGUCGAGCUACCUAUUUUACAGUCCUGGGAAACAUCCUGUAUCAUCUGUCCGUCCUAAAUACACGUCCACCCGUCUCGUAGCGUUCAUCUAAUUCAGUUCCUAGUCACCUCUUAUUUCGGAUGCUGCCACGCCUUUGCCGGUGCCAGACAGAUGUACGCACGCAUAGACUCAUAGUCACCCAAGGCCGACUUCAACUCUCAAUCAUGCUGUGAAAUUGACGUCGACAAUUCAAUUCCAGCACCAAAGCCAGUCAAUUUGCCUUUGACCCUGAUAGGUCUCCAUAGCCGAGUAAAGAUAGGUCUCAUCCACAUCCCGAGAAAAGUAACUGGCCAUUUCACAAUUUACAAUCUUCUUGUCCUCUUUCCUUGCUACUAUCUCAAAAGUAAUUGGAUUAGAAAGCCAUCCCUCUGACCAUCUCUUCCGAUGGUAGUGGUGAGAUCUUCCCAGCACCUUUCUGCAGGGAACACAGAUGAAUGUUUGACUAAAUCAGAGGGACACGUGGACCUCCCUCAGAACACA